rnacentral:rRNA from 1 species
GGCGGCCGCGGGAAUUCGAUUAGAGUUUGAUCAUGGCUCAGAUUGAACGCUGGCGGCAGGCCUAACACAUGCAAGUCGAGCGGUAGAGAGAAGCUUGCUUCUCUUGAGAGCGGCGGACGGGUGAGUAAUGCCUAGGAAUCUGCCUGGUAGUGGGGGAUAACGUUCGGAAACGGACGCUAAUACCGCAUACGUCCUACGGGAGAAAGCAGGGGACCUUCGGGCCUUGCGCUAUCAGAUGAGCCUAGGUCGGAUUAGCUAGUUGGUGGGGUAAUGGCUCACCAAGGCGACGAUCCGUAACUGGUCUGAGAGGAUGAUCAGUCACACUGGAACUGAGACACGGUCCAGACUCCUACGGGAGGCAGCAGUGGGGAAUAUUGGACAAUGGGCGAAAGCCUGAUCCAGCCAUGCCGCGUGUGUGAAGAAGGUCUUCGGAUUGUAAAGCACUUUAAGUUGGGAGGAAGGGCAGUAAAUUAAUACUUUGCUGUUUUGACGUUACCGACAGAAUAAGCACCGGCUAACUCUGUGCCAGCAGCCGCGGUAAUACGAAUCACUAGUGAAUUCGCGGCCGCCUGCAGGUCG